rnacentral:misc_RNA from 1 species
CCCUGGUUUCCCAGGUAGUCCCAUCAGAGUGCCUCCUCACGGAGUAGCAACUGAUGGCAAGGGUUGCGCUCGUUAAAGGACUUAACCCAACAUCUCACGACACGAGCUGACGACAGCCAUGCAGCACCUGUACAUAUGUCCAAGUAAACUUGGAAGGAUAUAUCUCUACAUCUGUCAUAUGUAUGUCAAACCUAGGUAAGGUUCCUCGCGUACCGUCGAAUUAAACCACAUGUUCCACCGCUUGUGCGGACCCCCGUCAAUUCCUUUAAGUUUCAGCCUUGCGACCGUACUCCCCAGGUGGAUCACUUAACGCGUUAGCUGCGACACCAAUCCCUAUAGCGAGACUGACGUCUAGUGAUCAUCGUUUACAGCGUGGACUAC